GACGGUCUGGGCCUCUCGGCAGGCGUAACAUAUCCCCGGGGCCUUAUCGAUCUCUAAGGGAGCUGUCCCUGUUCCGGCCCGUGGGCUGGAGCAUAUGGCGCCCACCUACUUUGUAGGUUCCCGGGAUCGAUCUCUCCACCGGUUGCCUGGAUCGUCG
rnacentral:sRNA from 1 species